rnacentral:misc_RNA from 1 species
GAUUGCAUUCCACCAUCCAAUACCAGUACACCAUUGCAGGGUUCGAAUAAUAUACCUUUCAUACCUGUGAAUUUGGACUCAGAUGCAGAACAUAGUGUUCAAGACAUCAAUAGUCCUGAAAAGAAUGCACCUCCAAUACAAAAACCCAAAAAGGCUAAGGAACAAAACUUUACUAGCCCUGAAGAUCUUCUACUUUGCACAACGUGGUUGCAAAUUAGCAGUGACCCUGUUGUGCACACUGGCCAACGUAGGGAGGGCCUUUGGGCUAGAAUUGAAAAAAGAUACAACGAACAGAGGGGGAACUUUCCUUGCCGAGUGAACAGAGCGCUUAGCAGCAGAUGGGAUAAGAUAAGAGCAGAUGUAAGUAAGUUUGCUGGAUACUAUUCAAGAGUUCUUAGAGAGAAACAAAGUGGGUUAACUGAUGACGACAAGACUUCGAAGGCCGCAACAUUAUUUGCACACGAGGAGAACAAAAAUUUCCAGUACAUGCAUUGCUGGCACCAACUAAAGGGAGAACCGAAAUGGGAG